CCUACGGGAGGCAGCAGUGGGGAAUAUUGCACAAUGGGGGGAACCCUGAUGCAGCGACGCCGCGUGCGGGAUGACGGCCUUCGGGUUGUAAACCGCUUUCAGCAGGGACGAAGAUGACGGUACCUGCAGAAGAAGCGCCGGCUAACUACGUGCCAGCAGCCGCGGUAAUACGUAGGGCGCAAGCGUUGUCCGGAAUUAUUGGGCGUAAAGAGCUCGUAGGCGGCUUGUCGCGUCGGAUGUGAAAGCUCGAGGCUUAACCUCGGGUCUGCAUCCGAUACGGGCAGGCUAGAGGCAGGUAGGGGAGAACGGAAUUCCCGGUGUAGCGGUGAAAUGCGCAGAUAUCGGGAGGAACACCGGUGGCGAAGGCGGUUCUCUGGGCCUGUACUGACGCUGAGGAGCGAAAGCGUGGGGAGCGAACAGGAUUAGAUACCCUUGUAGUC
rnacentral:rRNA from 1 species